CGGCAUGUCUCUGGAGUACAUUCCACCAAUGAUGGUUAAUGGGAAACCAGUGGGUCAAUUGCUUAAAGAUGAAGUGGAGGAACAAGAACAAAAAUGGAAGGGUGCUCUAGUUGUCUUUGUUUUAGGGAAUGCCCAGGUUAUAAUGCUAUGAAAAGGUUUAUCAAUCUACAUUGGUCCCAUGUACCUGAACCUGGUCUCUUUUAUCAUGAAGAGGGCUAUUAUAUUGUUAAAUUUCAAUCCCUUGAUGAUGCCAAGGAAGUCCUUUGUGCAGGGCCAUACUCCAUUGCAAAUAGACCUAUGAUCUUGAAGCAAUGGUCUGCUGAUUUUGAUUUUAAAGCUGCUUUUCANCGACGCUCUUCCGAUCUCCAUACUCCAUUGCAAAUAGACGUAUGAUCUUGAAGCAAUAGUCUGCUGAUUUUGAUUUUAAAGCUGCUUUCCCUAUGGAAAUUCCUCUGUGGAUUAAGUUCCCUAACCUUCCUAUGUCAUGUUGGGGCAGCAGGUCUUUGAGUAGGAUUGCCAGUGUGUUG
rnacentral:lncRNA from 1 species